rnacentral:rRNA from 1 species
GAUGAACGCUAGCGGAAGGCUUAAUACAUGCAAGUCGAGCGGUAGGUGGCUUCGGCCAUUGAGAGCGGCGCACGGGUGAGUAACGCGUACAUGACCUGCCUGUCAGAAGGGGAUAGCCCUGGGAAACUGGGAUUAAUACCCUAUGGUAUUGAUACUAUGAAUGAUAUCAAUUAAAGUUGAGGCGCUGACAGAUGGAUGUGCGUCUGAUUAGCUAGUUGGUAGGGUAACGGCCUACCAAGGCGACGAUCAGUAGGGGGCGGGAGAGCGUGGUCCCCCACAAGGGUACUGAGACACGGACCCGACUCCUACGGGAGGCAGAAGUAAGGAAUAUUGGUCAAUGCCCGCAAGGGUGAACCAGCCAUUCCGCGUGGAGGAUGAAGGCCCUAUGGGUUGUAAACUUCUUUUAGAUGGGAAGAAAAUGCUAGAUGUAUCUGGUACUGACGGUACCAUCAGAAUAAGCACCGGCUAACUCCGUGCCAGCAGCCGCCGUAACAC